GAUCCUGGCUCAGGACGAACGCUGGCGGCGUGCUUAACACAUGCAAGUCGAACGGAGCACCCUUGAUUGAGGUUUCGGCCAAAUGAUAGGAAUGCUUAGUGGCGGACUGGNGAGUAACGCGUGAGGAACUUGCCUUUCAGAGGGGGACAACAGUUGGAAACGACUGCUAAUACCGCAUGACGCAUUUUGAUCGCAUGGUCGAAAUGCCAAAGAUUUAUCG
rnacentral:rRNA from 1 species